GGUGGGUUGGCUCAGUGGUUAGAGCGUAGGUCUCGUAACCGGAAGGUUGCGGGAUCGAAUCCCGCUACAUGCUG
rnacentral:tRNA from 1 species